UACAGAGGGGGCCAGCGUUAUUCGGAAUUACUGGGCGUAAAGCGUGCGCAGGCGGCGCGUUAAGACAGGUGUGAAAGCCCCGAGCUUAACUUGGGAAUUGCGCUUGUGACUGGCGUGCUGGAGUGUGGCAGAGGGAGGUGGAAUUCCACGUGUAGCAGUGAAAUGCGUAGAUAUGCGGAGGAACACCGAUGGCGAAGGCAAUCCCCUGGGCCUGCACUGACGCUCAUGCACGAAAGCGUGGGGAGCAAACAGG
rnacentral:rRNA from 1 species